GGGAUAAUUGGUCACACGCUUUCAACCGGGAUGAUGAAAGCCCCAAACGCUCCGGCGCCGAAGGAUGUGGCUGCGGCCGAUUAGGUAGACGGUGGGGUAACGGCCCACCGUGCCGAUAAUCGGUACGGGUUGUGAGAGCAAGAACCCGGAGACGGAAUCUGAGACAAGAUUCCGGGCCCUACGGGGCGCAGCAGGCGCGAAACCUUUACACUGCACGACAGUGCGAUAAGGGGACCCUGAGUGCACAGGCAUAGUGCCUGUGCUUUUCUCGACCGUAGGGAGGUCGAGGAACAAGAGCUGGGCAAGACCGGUGCCAGCCGCCGCGGUAAUACCGGCAGCUCGAGUGAUGGCCGAUCUUAUUGGGCCUAAAGCGUCCGUAGCUGGCCAGGCAAGUCCGUCGGG
rnacentral:rRNA from 1 species